ACAAUAAACUAACUUUUCCUCUAUAUAGCCAUAUAUGGGAGAAAAUAUACAGUAGCUGCCUCAUUUUAAUGAAAUUAGAGCUUUGUGUUGUGUCUUGUUAACAGGGACACUUUAUUCAGAGGCUGUGCCCCUUUAAGAGAUAUUCAGCCCAUCUCCUUAUAUGGAAAUCUUUGGGUGCGUCACGUGGUGCUUUGGACCGCUUAAGCUGUGUCAUGUGACUCAUAUAGCGGAAAUUAGUGAGUGAGUGGUUGAGUGAUUGAAAAUAUCUCUCUCUCUCUCUCUUUCUCUCCGUUGUAUAUUUUUCAGUAAGUUUCUCUUUCGUUAUUGUUAUAUUAUUUAACCAUUUUGUAAUAUAGAAUGACACUAUAUACACAUAUUACAUACAGAACCACUCUCUCUUAUUGUUCUACUGAUAUACUGUCUCCACCCAUCAGACCUAAAGGACCCUAUAAGGAAACAGAGACAGGUAGUACACUCAUAUGCAAAAACCUGAUAAGAUUGACUGAUGGAUACUCCUCACUCUGAACAACAGCAACAGUUCACUAAGAUUGUCAUUCUUUAUCCUCACAAGAAGAAAGGCACUGCAAACUGGUGACCCAGGACCACAAAAGGGAUAUAUUUUGGGCCAUUUUUGCCUUUAUUGGAUAGUAAUUUAGGAGACGACAGGAAAGUAUAGGGUGAAGAGAGGGGUAUGGGAUUGGCAAAGGACCUCGAGUCGGGAUUCGAACUCGGGUCGCCAGAAGUGCGUCUGCACCAUAUGUCGGAGCACCGUCCACUACACCAUCGGCUCCGACAGACUUUAAGGUUUUGUGGUCAAGGGUCACAUAUAUAUUAUACUUUAUUCAAAAUGUUUACUAUACCCAUUCACCUAAUCUUUAUUGUUUCAGGAUCUGAAUUAAUUGGCGGAAUUAUCAAGGGCAAAAGAAAAUACAGAUCCGUGAAGAUGGGAAAACGUUUUUAAUCAAUAAAAAUUAGAGAAAAAAUACAGAAAACUAAUUUAUACAUCAAUAAGAUUUUUUUGAUAGGAUACAUUGGUGUUAGCUCAAAUAAGCCAAAAUAAAGUAAUAAGUAUAAGUAUCAAGUUGAGUGUAUAAUUUUUUUAUUUUGAAAUAGGCAUUGUAAUUUGCUGUUUUUUAGACUAAACAUAUUAAGUACAUAAACAUAUUGCAUAACCUAUUUGUCUUUUGCAGGCAGCAAUGUCUGUGACUUUAUUUGCAUACUACACUGUUAUCUUUUCUAUGGAGUUGUGUAUUGUAUGUGUAGUAGUACAUCUUUGUUUUUUAUGAGUCAGAGACACCAAAUUGUGACCAUGGACCACAGUCAUCCGGGUCAAUUUUUUAAAUGUAAUUUAUACAUCAUCUGAAAGCUGAGUAAAAAAGAUUUCUAUUGAUGUAUGGUUUGUUAAGACAACUAUUUGAAGAUAUACAACUAUUUGAAAUCUUAGGGUGCAAAAAAUUUCCUGUAAAGUUGUCCAAAUAAAGUCAGCAAAUGCAUCCACUCACAAAAAUAAAGUUUUGCUAUAUUUAAAUAGGAAAUUUACAAAAUGUCUUCAUGGAACAUGAUCUUUACUAUCCUAAUGAUUUUUGGCAUAAAAGAAAAAUCUAUAAUUUUGACCCAUUAAAAUUAUUUUAUUUGCUACAAAUGUGCUACUUAUGACUGGUUUGGUGGUCCAGGGUCACAAAUGUGAUUUAUCAAAAUAAAUAUAAACACAUCAAUAAUAAACAUGGUGUUUGUAAACACAUGUGGAGAAAUGGAGAUCACAUAAUGGAGAGAUUUAUUUAAACAAUCAGCGUAGAAGACUCAUUCAGUAUCCUGGCCUUUAGAAGAGGAAGAGGAAAGCUGUUGUUUGCCCUGAAAAUAACCUUUGCAACUUCCUGCUUCCUUCAUCCUUUCUUAAUUUCAGCUAAACAGACAAACUGUUUUGGUUUACCUAUAUUAUAAAUAUUUUCCUCAGCCUUUUUUAAAGUUAUAAAUAAAGAGAGUUAUAGCCGUUCUGCAAGUACUGAUUCAUCACAUACACUUUUAAAAAUAAAGGUGCUUAGUUCACCCAAAAAAUAAAUUUCUGUCAUAUUUUUUCAUUCUCAUGUUGUUCUAAACCUGUAUGAAUUGAUGAAAACAAAAGCAUAUAUUUUGAUAAAUGAUAAUAAGCACACAGGUGAUCCAUUGACGUGCACGGGGAAAACAACAUGAGGAUGAGAAAAUAAUGACAAUUUUGGGGUGAACUAUCUCUUAAAAAGGUUCUUCAUAGCAAAAAACGAUUUUUGGUUCUCCAAAGAACCUUUCAGUUAAAGAUUCUUAAAAAGCCAUUUCUUUCAUACGUUUUCAUAGUCUGAAGAACCUUUCAAAGGACCUUUUGUGCAACAGAUGUAAACGAUUAUUUAUUGAGCCAUAUAACCAGCCUAUGUUUGGGACCUUUAUUAGCCUAUUUAAAGGUAUCAGGUGCUUUGCCUUUCAGAUCAGCUUCUUCCCAUAGCAACAGUGGUUAUGCUGAUGUGAGUAACUGUAGUCUGCAUUUCAUUUUACUAUGGUAAAUUAAGUAGAACAGACAGGUAACCAGAACUGCUUUUAAGUGGAAAAAUUUAAUUAAAAAAUUCAAAGAGGUUUACAUAUAGCCUAGGCUUUUUUCCCACCAGAACGCUCUCUCUCUCUUUCUCUCUCUUUCUCUCUCUCUCACUCUCUCUCUCUCUCUCUCUCUCUGUGCUCUCUCUCUCUGUGUGCUCUCUCUCUCUCUCUCUCUCUCUCUCUCUCUCUCUCUCUCU